UUUAGAUUAAUUUAUUAAUUUAGUAAAAUAAAUAAAUUUAAAAUAUUAAAAAUAAUUUUAUAAUUUAUAGUUUAAGUAUUUUAUAAAGAAAAAAUAAUUUUAAUUAUAUUGAAUUAGUAUUGUAGAAGAAAAUUGAAAUAAAUUGAAAAUUUAAAAUUUAAAAAGAAAAUUUUAAUUAUUGUACCUUGUGUGUCAGGGUUAAUUAAAUAAAAACUUAAUAUUUAAGUUUUCUCGAUUUUAAAAGAGUUAAUAAGUUACUAAAGUUAAUGUAGAAAAAUUAUUUUUAAUAAUUUAUUAGAAAUGAAAUGUUAUUCGUUUUUAAAGGUAUCUAGUUUUUUUAGAAAUAAAUUUAAUUUAGAAAUUUUUAAUUUAUUUAAUUUUUUAAUAAUUAGAUAAUUAAAAAUUUUAAUAUUUUACGGGAUAAGCUGUAAAAUAAAAAUUUAAAAAUUUUAAAUAAUUAGUGAAAUAUAUAUGCUUAGAAUUAGCAAUUAUUAAUAAAUUUGUUAUAAUUUAUUUUUUAAAUUAAAUUAUUUAUUAGAAUUUUAAAUUUUUAUAAAAAUUUUUAUUAUAAUUUUUAAAAUUAAGUAAUAAUGAUUAAAUUAGUAUAUAAUAAUUAAAUGUAUAAAUUAAUUUAAUUGAAAAGUUUAAUAAAAGAAUUCGGCAAAUUUAAUGUUCGCCUGUUUAACAAAAACAUGUCUUUUUGAAUUAAAUUUAAAGUCUGACCUGCCCACUGAUUUUUAAAUGGCCGCAGUAUACUAACUGUGCAAAGGUAGCAUAAUCAUUAGUCUUUUAAUUGAAGGCUGGAAUGAAUGGUUGGACGAGAUAUUAACUGUUUCUAUUAAAUUUUUUAUAGAAUUUUAUUUUUUAGUCAAAAAGCUAAAAUUUAAUUGAAAGACGAGAAGACCCUAUAAAUCUUUAUAUUUAAUUUAUUUUAAUUGUUUAGAAUUAUUUUAUUAUAAUAAAUUUAAGUAUUUUAUUGGGGUGAUAGUUAAAUUUAUAAAACUUUAAUUUUUAAAAAUCAUUAAUUAAUGAAUUAUUGAUCCAGUUUUACUGAUUAAAAAUUUAAGUUACUUUAGGGAUAACAGCGUAAUUUUUUUGGAGAGUUCAUAUCGAUAAAAAAGAUUGCGACCUCGAUGUUGGAUUAAGAGAUAUACUUAGGCGCAGCCGUUUAAGUGAUAAGUCUGUUCGACUUUUAAAUUCUUACAUGAUCUGAGUUCAAACCGGCGUAAGCCAGGUUGGUUUCUAUCUUUAAUUAAUUAAAAUAUUUUAGUACGAAAGGACCAAAUAUUUGAAUAAUAAAAUUUUUAUAAAAUGAAUAUUAUUAAUUUAAAUAU
rnacentral:rRNA from 1 species